GGCAGCAGAUCUGCAAGAGGGUGGGGCCCAGCCGCCUCCUGGCGGGCAUGAGGAGGUGUCUGCCACACCGGCAGAACUCAAGGGUGGCUGCAACUAUGCCUGGCUGUCUCCUUGCCCUUCUCCUCGGCACUUUUUUAGGUGUCAGAGCUCAGACCAUCCAUCAGUGGCCACGCUCCAGGGUGCAGCCUGUGGGCAGCCCACUCUCCCUGGAGUGCACGGUGAGGGGGGCAUCGAACCCCUACCUAUACUGGUACCGGCAGGCCGGAGGAGGGGCCCUGCAGCUGCUCUUCUACUCUGUAGGCGCUGGCCAGGUAGACUCUGAAGCACCCCAGCACUUGGAAGCCUCCAGGCCCCAGGACGGCACAUUCGUCCUGAAUUCUACGAAGCUCCUCCUCAGUGACUCUGGCUUCUACCUCUGCGCCUGGAGUCCCACACUGAGCUGGCUGAAGAGGGAGAAGAGAAGCAGAUGGUGAUCAAAGAGCUACAAGAGAUAGAAUAAAGAAGAGGGCAUGCUUGUAUAAUGGAAAAACCCUAAAAAAGACAAAUUCUCUGGAUGGGAAUGAAAGAGAGGAAAGGCUUACGGGGAUGGCUGGGAAGAUAUGCCAUGGUUACCUUGGCAACCAGGCUUCCUCAGCCCUCAGUGGCUCAACCCUCCCUCCCGUCCUUGUUCUUAAAAGGGUUUUCUUUUCUAAUGUCCCUUCUGCUCCGCGAGGGGGCACACAAAGUCUUAAAAUACCCUGCUCCUGGCUUCACUUCAUCUAGGACAAUCCAGACAUGCCUUUAUUUUCAGUAUCAUUUAGUUGGCAGAGGAAAAUCUGACACAGAGACACGGAGUGAUCAAGUCAGUCUUCUGGAAUGACCAAGGCUUCCUAGUGUACAUUAAGGAUUAACUUCUGUGUCAUGUGCUGAGUUCUCCGAGCCAUCACAGGGAUUAAAAAGAGUAAUGGUGCUGGGCUUCAUCACAGCAUGGUUUGAUCAAAGCUCUUGGUUUGCUUUUUCUUCCGCAUGCAUGAAUGUUUAAUUCACUGAGGCAGUACAGAUGCAUUUACAGUGCAAGCUGGGAUCACAUUCAUAGUAAACAACAUCUCAAGCUAAUGUAUGUUAGCUGGUUAUUGAACAUCAGUGGCAGUAGAUCUCUUGCCGUCAGAUUAUUUUUACCGACUAGACUCUUGUAUUUUGAAAAGGUUUAGGUUAACAUAAAAAUUGAGCAGAUAAUAAAGUUCUCAUAUAUGCCCCUUUCCUCCUUGACUUUCCCGUUAUUAAUAUCUUACACAGGUGUGGUACCUUUGUUGAUGAACCAGUAUUGAUAUACUCUCAUAGUCCAUGGUUAACAUGAAAAUUUACUCUCUGUUUUGUACAUUUCCAUGUUUUUUUUUUACAAAUAUAUCAUGUCUUCUAUUUACCAUUAUGGUGCCACACUGAAUAGUUUCCUGGCCCUGAGUCCCCUGUGCUAUUUCUCUCCUCUUUUCCCUGGAAACCCUAGUAACCACUGAUCUUUUUACUGUCUCUGUAUUUUUAAGGUACUUGGUUUUUGAGUCCAAAUUUACUCUUUGUUAUGACUUGGGCCAAUCAUCUCUCUAGGCCUCAUUUUCCCCAUCUGUCAAAUUUCCCUGAUUGGAUUAAGUAUAUUAAAUGAUGUGGUAUUUACAUUACAAGGCCUUAUGACAGGGCUAAUUUUCAGCUGAUUCUAUUUCCUUCUUUAAGCUUAUAAGAUAUUGGGAUCACAAUUACCCAAAACAAAGACUUGUUUCUUUUCAAAUUAAAAUUUAAACUAUGUAGUUCAUUAACAAUGUUAAAUAUAUUUGGAUGGCAAACCCAUGAAACUUA